CAGCAGUCGCCGCGGUAAUACGAAGGGUGCAAGCGUUACUCGGAAUUACUGGGCGUAAAGCGUGUGUAGGUGGUUGUUUAAGUCUGUCGUGAAAUCCCCGGGCUCAACCUGGGAAUGGCAGUGGAUACUGGCUCGCUAGAGUGUGUCAGAGGAUGGUGGAAUUCCCGGUGUAGCGGUGAAAUGCGUAGAGAUCGGGAGGAACAUCAGUGGCGAAGGCAGCCAUCUGGGACAAAACUGACGCUGAGGCACGAAAGCGUGGGGAGCAAACAGGAUUAGAUACCCCAGUAGUCCCUGUCUCUUAUAC
rnacentral:rRNA from 1 species